GCUUGUCUCAAAGAUUAAGCCAUGCAUGUCUAAGUAUAAACAACUUUAUACUGUGAAACUGCGAAUGGCUCAUUAUAUCAGUUAUAGUUUAUUUGAUGGUUCUUGCUACUUGGAUAACCGUAGUAAUUCUAGAGCUAAUACAUGCAUCAAACCUCGACUUUUUUGGAAGAGGUGUAUUUAUUAGAUGGAAACCAAUGCGGGGCAACCCGGAAUAUGGUGAAUCAUAAUAACUGUCGUAUCGAGCAAUCGAAGCGCCAUACAAGUUUCUGCCCUAUCAGCUUUGGAUGGUAGGGUAUUGGCCUACCAUGGCUUUAACGGGUAACGGAGAAUUAGGGUUCGAUUCCGGAGAGGGAGCCUGAGAAACGGCUACCACAUCCAAGGAAGGCAGCAGG
rnacentral:rRNA from 1 species